rnacentral:lncRNA from 1 species
CCAGUCCCGAGGGGACGGGGCUCCAACCUCACCUUCCUGCUGUCGUGGAGAAGAAAAGUGGUAAUGACCGCUACUGUGCACUGGGCUCUCGCUCUGUGCUUUGCUUGUGUUUGCUCAGUUAAUCCUCCCAACAUGCCUCUAAGCUUUCCCCUGAGAGGCCUCACACUUGAACUUAGAGGAAGAGUGAGUGGCCCUGGAGCUGGGCCUUCCAGUAGGAGCAGGGUUUCUGCAGGGAAGCAGAGAGAGGAGCCCGGGAGAAGGCACACGGGUUCUUCUCAGCCACCGUCAACAACCCCAGCUGCUACCAAGGAGGUGUGCUGAAUGUCCCAUUCCCCGGUGCUGCCAGCUCCUCAGAGCUCUGAUCACAAGCGCUUGCCCAGUGCCUGGCAUAGAGGCGGCCAUAGCUGGACUCCUACCCUGUUCCAGGCACUGAACCUUCAUUUGCCCUGAGACGUCAGGGUGGUCUUAGGACCAUGUUUCCAGGGAGGACACAGAGGCACAGGGGCAUGAGGACCCUGCCCUGGGUGGUGGCAGAGCUGGGAUUUGAACCCGGGUUUGCAUGACUCCCAGCCCUGUUCCUGUCCUCUCAGGGGCUGCACCCUCCCCCUGCCCCUUCCUCCUCCCCCUCCUACCAGGCAGGGCUGAGCCAGACUGGGGUUCCAAAGCCCUUCCUCCUUCUCGAUCCAGAGAUAAAUAUUUGUUUCUCCAGUGUAAAUAGCCCUUCGUGUUUAAUGAGGCAAUCCUAGGGCCAUUUCCUGGCACGGCUCAGGGCCUGGAGGUCUUUCUCGCUCUGGGAGGAACAGUCCUAGGAGGAGAGCCGCUGAGGAGGGGCUCAGGGCCUCUGAGAAAAUCCUUCCAUUUACAG